ACUCCUACGGGAGGCAGCAGUGGGGAAUAUUGGACAAUGGGCGAAAGCCUGAUCCAGCCAUGCCGCGUGUGUGAAGAAGGUCUUCGGAUUGUAAAGCACUUUAAGUUGGGAGGAAGGGUUGUAGAUUAAUACUCUGCAAUUUUGACGUUACCGACAGAAUAAGCACCGGCUAACUCUGUGCCAGCAGCCGCGGUAAUACAGAGGGUGCAAGCGUUAAUCGGAAUUACUGGGCGUAAAGCGCGCGUAGGUGGUUUGUUAAGUUGGAUGUGAAAUCCCCGGGGCUCAACCUGGGAACUGCAUUCAAAACUGACUGACUAGAGUAUGGUAGAGGGUGGUGGAAUUUCCUGUGUAGCGGUGAAAUGCGUAGAUAUAGGAAGGAACACCAGUGGCG
rnacentral:rRNA from 1 species